UUAUGCAACUCAGAUUCUUUAAACGAAGCCCAUAAACAACAAGAGUCAUUGGUCAUUACAAUGUAAGAUGAAUCUAUAGCUCACCACAAGAAAGUGUGUCCAGUACAUUGGAUCAUAUUCUAGAAUUACAUUGGAUCAUAUUUUAGAAUUGAAAAAUGUGUCACAAAACUAUCAUCAUACUCUAACAAAAGUUGUGAUUCAGUUCCUUCUUUGCUUUGUGUUUCCCUUCUUCCAUUUCUUAUUCGUAACAGCUCUGUUCUUCUCCUCGAUUUCCU
rnacentral:lncRNA from 1 species